rnacentral:tRNA from 1 species
AGGUAUUUAAUCUAAUUAAGAUAUCUGAUUUCGACUCAGCCUAUCAUGGUUCUAAACCAUGAAUACCUU